rnacentral:tRNA from 1 species
GCCCCUGUAGCUCAACGGAUAGAGCACCUGCCUUCUAAGCAGGGGAUAGGGGUUCGAUUCCUCUCAGGGGCA